rnacentral:tRNA from 1 species
GCCACCUUAGCUCAAUUGGCAGAGCAAUCGCUUCGUAAGUGAUAGGUUUCGGGUUCGACUCCCGAAGGUGGCU